GACGAACGCUGGCGGCGUGCUUAACACAUGCAAGUCGAACGGAAAGGCCCUGCUUUUGUGGGGUGCUCGAGUGGCGAACGGGUGAGUAACACGUGAGUAACCUGCCCUUGACUUUCGGAUAACUUCAGGAAACUGGGGCUAAUACCGGAUAGGAUCUCCUGCUGCAUGUUGGGGGUUGGAAAGUUUCGGCGGUUGGGGAUGGACUCGCGGCUUAUCCGCUUGUUGGUGGGGUAGUGGCUUACCAAGGCUUUGACGGGUAGCCGGCCUGAGAGGGUGACCGGCCACAUUGGGACUGAGAUACGGCGCAGACUCCUACGGGAGGCAGUAGUGGGGAAUAUUGCACAAUGGGGGGAAGCCUGAUGCAGCAACGCCGCGUGCGGGAUGACGGCCUUCGGGUUGAAAACAGCUUUCGACUGUGACGAAGCGUGAGUGACGGUAAUGGGUAAAGAAGCACCGGCUAACUACGUG
rnacentral:rRNA from 1 species